rnacentral:rRNA from 1 species
CCUACGGGUGGCAGCAGUGAGGAAUAUUGGUCAAUGGACGAGAGUCUGAACCAGCCAAGUAGCGUGAAGGAUGACUGCCCUAUGGGUUGUAAACUUCUUUUAUAUGGGAAUAAAAUGUUCCACGUGUGGGAUUUUGUAUGUACCAUAUGAAUAAGGAUCGGCUAACUCCGUGCCAGCAGCCGCGGUAAUACUGAGGAUCCGAGCGUUAUCCGGAUUUAUUGGGUUUAAAGGGAUCGUAGGUGGAUUGUUAAGUCAGUUGUGAAAGUUUGCGGCUCAACCGUAAAAUUGCAGUUGAAACUGGCAGUCUUGAGUACAGUAGAGGUGGGCGGAAUUCGUGGUGUAGCGGUGAAAUGCUUAGAUAUCACGAAGAACUCCGAUUGCGAAGGCAGUUCACUGGACUGCAACUGACACUGAGGCUCGAAAGUGUGGGUAUCAAACAGGAUUAGAUACCCUUGUAGUC